rnacentral:rRNA from 1 species
UGGGGAAUAUUGCACAAUGGGCGCAAGCCUGAUGCAGCCAUGCCGCGUGUGUGAAGAAGGCCUUCGGGUUGUAAAGCAACUUUCAGCGAGGAGGAAGGUGGUGAGCUUAAUACGCUCAUCAAUUGACGUUACUCGCAGAAGAAGCACCGGCUAACUCCGUGCCAGCAGCCGCGGUAAUACGGAGGGUGCAAGCGUUAAUCGGAAUUACUGGGCGUAAAGCGCACGCAGGCGGUUUGUUAAGUCAGAUGUGAAAUCCCCGGGCUCAACCUGGGAACUGCAUUUGAAACUGGCAAGCUAGAGUCUCGUAGAGGGGGGUAGAAUUCCAGGUGUAGCGGUGAAAUGCGUAGAGAUCUGGAGGAAUACCGGUGGCGAAGGCGGCCCCCUGGACGAAGACUGACGCUCAGGUGCGAAA